rnacentral:rRNA from 1 species
CCUACGGGAGGCUGCAGUGGGGAAUAUUGGACAAUGGGGGCAACCCUGAUCCAGCCAUGCCGCGUGUGUGAAGAAGGCCCUCGGGUUGUAAAGCACUUUCAGUGAGGAAGAACGCCUGGUGGUUAAUACCCAUCAGGAAAGACAUCACUCACAGAAGAAGCACCGGCUAACUCCGUGCCAGCAGCCGCGGUAAUACGGAGGGGGCGAGCGUUAAUCGGAAUUACUGGGCGUAAAGCGCGCGUAGGUGGCUUGAUAAGCCGGUUGUGAAAGCCCCGGGCUCAACCUGGGAACGGCAUCCGGAACUGUCAAGCUAGAGUGCAGGAGAGGAAGGUAGAAUUCCCGGUGUAGCGGUGAAAUGCGUAGAGAUCGGGAGGAAUACCAGUGGCGAAGGCGGCCUUCUGGACUGACACUGACACUGAGGUGCGAAAGCGUGGGUAGCAAACAGGAUUAGAUACCCCGGUAGUC